rnacentral:rRNA from 1 species
CGGGAGGCAGCAGUGGGGAAUAUUGCACAAUGGGCGCAAGCCUGAUGCAGCCAUGCCGCGUGUGUGAAGAAGGCCUUCGGGUUGUAAAGCACUUUCAGUCGUGAGGAAGGUAGUGUAGUUAAUAGCUGCAUUAUUUGACGUUAGCGACAGAAGAAGCACCGGCUAACUCCGUGCCAGCAGCCGCGGUAAUACGGAGGGUGCGAGCGUUAAUCGGAAUUACUGGGCGUAAAGCGCAUGCAGGUGGUUUGUUAAGUCAGAUGUGAAAGCCCGGGGCUCAACCUCGGAAUUGCAUUUGAAACUGGCAGACUAGAGUACUGUAGAGGGGGGUAGAAUUUCAGGUGUAGCGGUGAAAUGCGUAGAGAUCUGAAGGAAUACCGGUGGCGAAGGCGGCCCCCUGGACAGAUACUGACACUCAGAUGC